rnacentral:lncRNA from 1 species
CUCCUUCAGAUUUACUCUUAGAAGAAAGAAGUCAAAAACCAAUAACCUUUGAUGGUGUUGGUAUUACAAUUUGGAAUAUCGAUGGUCUAUCUGAAUAUCAAAUUAUGCAAUACCUUGAAUAAAUGGCUGCUUAUUAUAGUGCUUAUAUUCAUCAAGGUGAUUGUCCAAUUGAAGCCACUAAUAAUAUUAUUCAAGCUUUUUCUGAUCAAUUAAAUAAUUGGUGGUUUAGAUAUUUAAAUGAAAAUGAUAAAAUUCAAAUUGCACAACCUAUAAAAGAAGAUGGUACAAAUGAUAGUUUUGAUGUUCUUAUAUACAGUAUAAUCGACCAUUUAAUUGGAGUUCCAACAAAUAGUUUAGAAAACGCAUAUGAUAUUUUGAUGAAUCUCAAUUGUUCAACUUUUCAAGAUUUUCGUUGGUAUAAAGAUGUGUUUUUAACAAGUGUCUUUUUACGAACUGGUCAUAAUCAAUCCAUUGGAAAGAGAAAAAUUUAUCUGGACUUCCAAAACUUUUUUCAGAAAGAGUCAAAAUUUCAAUAAGAAAUGAUAAUACAAUUCCUUAUGAUAAUCUUACUUAUGGAGAAUUAAUCAGUUUCAUUAAUAGAGAAGGAUUAGCUCUUUGUAAUGAACUCAAGCUCAACAAUCUAUCUGAAUAAUCAUUAUUCUUCAAAAUCGAUCCUAUCCAAAUAAUCAUGGUGCUUCCACAGUUAUUAUCAUUAAGAUAUUGCAUAGUUAAACUGUGAAAUUCAUCUAUACUAUUAUCUCAUUCAUAACCUAGCCCAUUAUGGUUACAACCUAAUUCUAUGUAUAUUCAUCUCUUACACUGGGGUAGAAUCGUGACUUUGCAUGGUGAAAAAAAUCGUGGCUGCCUACUUUGUUAUCCUCUCUCUUUGUGCUUGAGUCUAACCCUAUUCUUUCAUUAUUUUUCUACUCUUUGUGACUUGCAAACUCAUCACCAUAACCUUGUCUAAGUGGGUGCAAAAUGGGAGCAAUCGACGUAGAGGUGGAUUGAGCUUUUGGUUGAUUGUGUGUAAUUUGGAAUAUGAUAAUGCAACUAAACCAGGAAUCCAUCGAUUGAAGAACAAUACCUCUAUAUCUGGUAUCAGAGCCAUGUUGGUGGUGGAUUUUUGGCCAAAAAUUGACUAGAAACGAGUUUGAAAUUCAAUAGAAAAGCGAAACAAAAGCAGUCCAAAUUUUGAAUAAUAUACCCAGAGCUUUAAACCUGAUUUCAGCAAAAUGACUGACCUGGUGAAGAAACCAUGUCCACCGACACACUUCGGAGCCAGAGGUGCUCCUAGGUCAGGUACAAGUAGUGGUCGACGACAUCGCAUGGGACUCCCGAAAAGGCGCGUGAAGGCACGUGGGGUAGUUUCAAGCAAUUGUUUCUUCAGGCAGAAUAUUUCUAAUGUAAUUUCUAACGAUUUUGUGUUGUUAAUUUUCUGUUUCAGGUUAUAUAGUGAAAUUUGGACGAUUUUGCCACUACGUGUUUGUGAUUCAAUUCUUAACUUGACUGCUUGCUAUUGUUGUUGGAGAUUUAAGGAGAAUAGUGGAGGCCCCCAAAGUUUGAUAAAUUCACAUUUCUCAUAAUUUAUCGACCCAGAUUGGUCCGCUUUGGUAUAUUGGCUUAUCGCAAUUUAAAUUUCAGAAUUAGCGCAUCAUUGUAUGGGGUAAUAUUAGGAUUGGGGUUAAUGUGAAGGGGUAAUCAUUGCUUGUG